AAAUAAACGUGCGUUGACGCUAUUAUAGCAUAAAAUUUUAAAACAGAUUCAUGAUGUAUAUUGUAUAUAAAACACAAACAUUAAAUCCUUGUGCUUGAACGGUAUUUAUCCAACUCUACAUGUUUUACGUAUGCGUUUUAUUUUUUCCGGGGCCAACAACUUGAGAACCGAACGAAAUUUCGAAUUUUAAUUGAUUUAACAAAGUUUAACUUUGGAGAUAUAUUAACUUAAGAAAAACAUAACAUUACUCUACCCAAGACAAAACAGACGCCUCAGAAAUUCCUAGAAUGAUUACAGAUUGGCGGUAGGAAAAAGAUCAGUGACAUCAGAUUCAAAUUCAGAAUCGUUUUUUUUUUAAGCACGCAAGUUUAAAAAAAAAUCAGGGAUAAAACAUUAUUCUCUCAAAGAAUCAUACAGAACAUUUAUCAAUAUAAACGUCAAUAAAACAACGUUUUCUUAUAUUCAUUUUGUGCUUUCCAUUUUUGUAAGUUAAUCGGGGGAUUAAACUGAAUGACAGAUUCUAUUUGUUUACAUUGACAACUGUCCGUUUCUAAGAAAGGGCGACAACCAAGAUAAGCGGCGAUGUCUAUACGCCGUAUUGCCGGCAUAAUUACUUGAAUGCUGCUCGCCGUUAUGGUCUCAACCCGGUACGGAGUUAGACCGAACCCAUUGUAGUCUAGAAAGUAGUUCUUUAAAAUUUUGAAAUGGCCCAGUUUAAGUCAUCUCUAGUUAGAUUGGUCAUAAUUAAAGUGUAUUGAUUGCAUGUGUGUAGUUUUUGUGUGUUAAAUGAUGACUUUAAAAGUUAUUUUUUGUGUAUUCUCCAGGAACUCAUUUGUUGGUGGAAGGAUUAAAGAUGUACUACCCACCAGCUGUCUGGAGUUUUUAAAGAGGUGAAUUUAAACAGUGUUACAACAAAAUGAAGAUUUCUGGAAAAAGUAGAUGGCUAACCUAUUAUAUUUUGGGCCUCAUUGGACUUAGAUAGUGUUAAUGUUUAAAGUUGAAGACAAUAUAUAAUUCAUCAAGAACAGUGGAAUCCAGAAUUAAGCCUCAAAUUUGACUGAUUUACUAUAGAACAAAUAGUACGAAAAUUCACCGGUCCGUGUCCUAGAUAAGAAAUAAGAAAAAUUGGAACUGGUUGAUGGAUAUGGAUGAAACUUUGCAUCAGUGAUGUGUUUAUGAAAAGAAGUCAGGAAAAUAAAGGAUAACUGACAGGAAUUGGCGAGUGUGUGGUUUCAGAUUGGUUACAUUGGUAAAAAAAGUGAUUGGCAAGCUCAUUCCAGAGAUCUCUAAGGGGCACAAGAAGCACCGGCCAUGGGAUUCGAACAAGCACCAUAGUAGCCUAUUGCUCAUAUGGACCACACAUUAUAUGUUUUGAUGUUUCAGCAAAGGAUUGAUGCUGUAAUUAUCAACCGUGCAGUUACCAAAGCCUGGGUUUGAGUACAUGACCUUACCUUAUCCUGGUAAAGAUCUAUGGAAGGACUCGUUCAGCUCAGUUUGGCAGCAGCUUUGUCAGGACACAUUGAGAAGGAACUCAUUUGUUGGUGGAAGGAUUAAAGAUGUACUAAACACCAGCUGUCUGGAGUUUUUAAAGAGGUGAAUUUAAACAGUGUUACAACAGAAUGAAGAUUUCUGAAAAAAGUAGAUGGCUAACCUAUUAUAUUUUGGGCCUCAUUGGACUUAGAUAGUGUUAAUGUUAAAAGUUGAAGACAAUAUAUAAUUCAUCAAGAACAGUGGAAUCCAGAAUUAAGCCUCAAAUUUGACUGAUUAACUAUAGAACAAAUAGUACGAAAAUUCACCGGUCCGAGUCCUUAUGCGCUUGAGGCCCUCGAAUUAAUAAUUCCAAUAUAACAAGAGCGCAUGACUCUGGCAAACAGGCCAAAUCGUCAUUUUUUGUUUGUUUACUGGGCCCUGUAUGUAUUGCGCAUAGGUAAAACCGGGCUAUAACAAGAGCGCGUGACUAUGUUAACGCAUGGUUUUGGCCCCGUUAUAACAUGGGCAAAAGAGGGGAAAAUAGCCGAUUUUAUGCUAUAAUGUGAGAUAUAGCAUAUUCCAUCACAAAAGGCAUACAUCAUCUAUACAUUUUAGUUCCACUGUGUAUAAACAGUAAAUCAUUUUUUAAUUGAUAAUAGAGAUGUCUAUACAUAAGGC